GAUUGAACGCUGGCGGCAUGCCUUACACAUGCAAGUCGAACGGUAACAGGUUAAGCUGACGAGUGGCGAACGGGUGAGUAAUAUAUCGGAACGUGCCCAGUCGUGGGGGAUAACUGCUCGAAAGAGCAGCUAAUACCGCAUACGACCUGAGGGUGAAAGCGGGGGAUCGCAAGACCUCGCGCGAUUGGAGCGGCCGAUAUCAGAUUAGGUAGUUGGUGGGGUAAAAGCCCACCAAGCCAACGAUCUGUAGCUGGUCUGAGAGGACGACCAGCCACACUGGGACUGAGACACGGCCCAGACUCCUACGGGAGGCAGCAGUGGGGAAUUUUGGACAAUGGACGCAAGUCUGAUCCAGCCAUGCCGCGUGCGGGAAGAAGGCCUUCGGGUUGUAAACCGCUUUUGUCAGGGAAGAAAAGGUUCUGGUUAAUACCUGGGACUCAUGACGGUACCUGAAGAAUAAGCACCGGCUAACUACGUGCCAGCAGCCGCGGUAAUACGUAGGGUGCAAGCGUUAAUCGGAAUUACUGGGCGUAAAGCGUGCGCAGGCGGUUAUGCAAGACAGAUGUGAAAUCCCCGGGCUCAACCUGGGAACUGCAUUUGUGACUGCAUGGCUAGAGUACGGUAGAGGGGGAUGGAAUUCCGCGUGUAGCAGUGAAAUGCGUAGAUAUGCGGAGGAACACCGAUGGCGAAGGCAAUCCCCUGGACCUGUACUGACGCUCAUGCA
rnacentral:rRNA from 1 species